rnacentral:misc_RNA from 1 species
AAAAAAAAAAGGGUCCUCACGCCUCUCGUUAUCUUUCCCUGUACAACGACAUAACGCAGGGCACAGAUAAAACCUAGUUUCAGAGCACAUCGAGCAGGAAGCUACAACUAUUUUCCAUCAUUAGCGCGCGACAUUGAUUUGCUGCUUUAAAAUCAUAAGAGCUUGCGAAACUUGAAGCAGGCUUGCUACAUAAACUGUGGGCAUGUCUACUGCACUGACACCUUCUAAGAGACCACAUGAUUGGAACGCUAGUGAGACAAAUGGGAAAGGAAAGUGGCAAAAGACAGCUGGCCUUAAUUCCCCCAAUCUAUCCUUGAAAUCCUUGAAUGGUGUAGUUUUCCGAAUACUCUGUCCUGCUUCCAAAACAG